ensembl:lncRNA
UGCUCUGUGCUCUUCUUUCAGGACCAUGAGAUCAUGAAGGUGAAGAGAUCUAUUGCUCUGUGCUCUUCUUUCAGGACCAUGAGAUCAUGAAGGUGAAGAGAUCUAUUGCUCUGUGCUCUUCUUUCAGGACCAUGAGAUCAUGCAGGUGAAGAGAUCUAUUACAGAGGUCUGAGUGACUCAGCCACUGAGAAUGUUAAACACAUAACUGAUUUUCAUUACUGAUUUUUUUUUUAAACACAUGACUGGUGAAAUGCAACUCAAACUACGUACAGGCUAAUCUUCUUCAGAACCGUGCUUUUUCAUUCACUAGUACAUAGGAACUACUCGACUGCUUUUAAAAUACAUGCACGUUUAACUUGAGAUCAGUAACCCGUCAAGUAUUCAGUUCUUUGACCCUGUAUCAUUAAUCUGAACACUGCUGUCAAGAUCAAGCUGCAGCCUGCAGCUGUUCGAGACAGAUGUCCAGCACUUCCACAUGUUAACCACAAGGGGGCAGUAUUAACCCAUCAGGCAG